rnacentral:rRNA from 1 species
AGAGUUUGAUCCUGGCUCAGGACGAACGCUGGCGGCGUGCUUAACACAUGCAAGUGGAGCGACGAACCAGGGCUUGCCCUGGGGCAGAGCCGCGAACGGGUGAGUAACACGUGGGUAACGUGCCCCAAUGACUGGGACAACCCGGGGAAACCCGGGCUAAUACCGGAUAUGCCCCCCGACCUUGGUCGGGUGUGUAAAGGAAGCUUCGGCCUCCGCAUUGGGAUCGGCCCGCGGCGCAUUAGCUUGUUGGUGAGGUAACGGCUUACCAAGGCAACGAUGCGUAGCUGGUCUGAGAGGACGAUCAGCCACACUGGGACUGAGACACGGCCCAGACUCCUACGGGAGGCAGCAGUGGGGAAUCUUGCGCAAUGCGCGAAAGCGUGACGCAGCAACGCCGCGUGGGGGAAGACGGCCUUCGGGUUGUAAACCCCUUUCAGUUGGGACGAAGGUCGGCGAGUUAAUAGCUCGUCCGGCUGACGGUACCUUCACAAGAAGCCCCGGCUAACUACGUGCCAGCAGCCGCGGUAAUACGUAGGGGGCAAGCGUUGUCCGGAAUCAUUGGGCGUAAAGAGCGUGUAGGCGGCCUUAUAAGUCGGCUGUGAAAGUCAAGGGCUCAACCCUUGAAUGCCGGCCGAUACUGUGAGGCUAGAGUCCGGAAGAGGCGAGUGGAAUUCCUGGUGUAGCGGUGAAAUGCGCAGAUAUCAGGAGGAACACCGAUGGCGAAGGCAGCUCGCUGGGACGGUACUGACGCUGAGACGCGAAAGCGUGGGGAGCGAACAGGAUUA